rnacentral:tRNA from 1 species
GGGGUUGGGGCUCAGUGGUAAGAGCGUUCACCUAGCAUGUGUGAGGCACUGGGUUCAAUUCUCAGCACCA